UACGGAGGAUUCGGGCGUUAUCCGGAUUUAUUGGGUUUAAAGGGAGCGUAGGCGGGUUGUUAAGUCAGUUGUGAAAGUUUGCGGCUCAACCGUAAAAUUGCAGUUGAUACUGGCAUCCUUGAGUACAGUAGAGGUAGGCGGAAUUCGUGGUGUAGCGGUGAAAUGCUUAGAUAUCACGAAGAACUCCGAUUGCGAAGGCAGCCUGCUGGACUGUAACUGACGCUGAUGCUCGAAAGUGUGGGUAUCAAACAGG
rnacentral:rRNA from 1 species